AGAGUUUGAUCAUGGCUCAGGAUAAACGCUGGCGGCGCACAUAAGACAUGCAAGUCGAACGAACUUAACUCAUUCUUUACGAUUGAGAGCGGUUAGUGGCAGACUGGUGAGUAAUACGUAAGCAACCUGCCUAUCAGAGGGGAAUAACAGUGAGAAAUCAUUGCUAAUACCGCAUAUGCUAACAGUAUUGCAUGAUACAGUUAGGAAAGGAGCAAUCCGCUGAUAGAUGGGCUUACGCCUGAUUAGCUAGUUGGUGGGGCAACGGCCUACCAAGGCGACGAUCAGUAGCCGGACUGAGAGGUUGAACGGCCACAUUGGGACUGAGAUACGGCCCAGACUCCUACGGGAGGCAGCAGUCGGGAAUAUUGCGCAAUGGAGGAAACUCUGACGCAGUGACGCCGCGUAUAGGAAGAAGGUUUUCGGAUUGUAAACUAUUGUCGUUAGGGAAGAUAAAAGACUGUACCUAAGGAGGAAGCCCCGGCUAACUAUGUGCCAGCAGCCGCGGUAAUACAUAGGGGGCAAGCGUUAUCCGGAAUUAUUGGGUGUAAAGGGUGCGUAGACGGAGAGACAAGUUGGUUGUGAAAUCCCUCGGCUCAACUGAGGAACUGCAACCAAGACUAUUUCCCUUGAGUGUCGGAGAGGAAAGUGGAAUUCCUAGUGUAGCGGUGAAAUGCGUAGAUAUUAGGAGGAACACCAGUGGCGAAGGCGACUUUCUGGACGAUAACUGACGUUGAGGCACGAAAGUGUGGGGAGCAAACAGGAUUAGAUACCCUGGUAGUCCACACCGUAAACGAUGGAUA
rnacentral:rRNA from 1 species